UGCCCCAUGGCUGAGUUGGUUACAGCGUCCGACUGUUAUGUAUAUGCGUCAAAUGUCGUUCAAUCGGAAGGUCGUGAGUUCGAGCCUCACUGGGGCAG